UUUCCUCUCCUCUCCCAGAUUAACUAGGAAUACCAAAGGAGACCACCUGGAACUGAAACAAGACAGGACUAGAACGACUACAGGAACCCACCAAAUCACUGGCUGGGUGCAGGCAGCUAAGCCCUAGUUGCUGUGGAAUCACAAGUGGAACAGUGCCAGACCUCAAAGGAACAUGAGGUACACAGCCUCAGACCAUCAUCCAGCUUCCGGCUCUGCCAGCUGUGUAGACCUGGAGAAUCAAGAGACAGAGAAGUAGGAAUGGGGAAGGACUUCUGCAGCACUGCUCCACCUGUUGUGAAGUUUCCCCCUGCAGAUGGGGACUGGAGGCUUGCAUCUGGCUCCUUUUUCAUGACAAUGUGUAUACCCUCCUAAGUGAGCUACUACCAGGCCCCUGGAUCUGGAACUUUUAUUUUUUUUAAACAUUUCAUUUAUUUAUUUAUUUUCCCUUUUGAUGCCUUUGUUUUUUUGUUGUUGUUGUUGUAGUUAUUGUUGUUGUAACUGAUGUCAUGGUUGUUAGAUAGGACAGAGAGAAAUGGAGAGAGGAGGCGAAGAUAGAGAGGGGGAGAGAAAGAUAGACACUUGCAGACCUGAUUCACCACCUGUGAAGCGACCCCCCCCCCCGCAGGUGGGGAGUCAGGGGCUUG